rnacentral:misc_RNA from 1 species
UCCCCGAGGGGCAGUCUCGCCAGACACGAAUAACUGGCGACGAGGGUUGCGCUCGUUGCGGGACUUAACCCAACAUCUCACGACACGAGCUGACGACAGCCAUGCAGCACCGGUGGCACACCCUCGAAGGCGACCCGUUUUCACGGGCUUGCAGUGCCAUGUCAAACCUAGGUGAGGUUCUUCGCGUUGCGUCGAAUUAAACCACACGCUCCGCUGCUUGUGCGGGUCCCCGUCAAUUCCUUUGAGUUUUAAGCUUGCGCUCGUACUUCCCAGGCGGAUGACUUAUCGCGUUAGCUGUGACCCCCAGGGAGUGUUACCCCCCCAAAGGCCGAGUCAUCAUCGUUUACGGCGUGGACUAC